rnacentral:tRNA from 2 species
GGAGGGGUGGCAGAGCGGUCGAAUGCGGCGGUCUUGAAAACCGCUGUGGGUGCAAGCUCACCGUGGGUUCGAAUCCCACCCCCUCCG